GGAACUCAGGGUACUCAUAACCCAACCAGCUAAAAUACAGGCGGGGAGAGAGAGGGAACGAGAACGAAAGAGAGAAAACAGAGCGUCAGGAACUAAUCCUCCUAAGGACCUGACAGCGCAUGCAGGUGACAUCUGCUCUGUGAAUGGCUCUGCGUAGGAGUGGACCACAACAGGCCGGCAGGUUUUACCCGAGGACAGCGAACGCGUCCGUAAUGGCAACCUAUUCCCCAUACAUGGUACCCAUAGGGCUCUGGUCAAAAGUAGUACACUAUAUAGGGAAUAGGAGGCCAUUUCAGACACGUCCAGAGAGGUGCUGCAGUCCUGGGUUCUCUCCCUCCAUACCCCACCCCCAUCUCUGUGCUCACUGCUCAGAUUGGUUUUAAAGAGAGAGGAUUCUCCAGCGGACACCUGUCGCAUGGGGCGUUGCUCAGUUCCAAUAUUGACACAAUAGUCUGGGGAGUGCAGAUUAGUUCCAACUCCUCUCUAUUAUGCCAAGCCUCCCCUCUCUAUGCAAACCGACUGACGAAAUGGAAGGAUUCGCUGACCUUUGUGCUCGCGCUGAACCUAGAGAAUGGGCCACUGAACGGUGGCUUCAUUCACCUGUGUUGAAGAUCACAUCAUCAGGACUGGAAUACUGCUGGCCAAGACCGUCUCCUUGAAUAAGAAAGGAGGGAGAUGAUCAAUGAACAGUGUGGUGCUGAAGAAAACACCACCCUACAGUUUGUUGCUGAAGAGGUUAAAAAAAUAAACAUCUGGAAUCAAGGGUUGCAUUCAAAAUCGCACCCGAUUACCUACGUAGGGCCCUAGUCAAAAGAAGUGCACUGUGUACGUAAUAGGGUGCCAACACAGUCACAAACGAACAAGGCAGUUAACCCACUGUUCCUAGGCCAUCAUUGUAAAUAAGAGUUAGAGUUAAAAGGUAAAAUUAAAAAAUACAACAACCAAGAUGACAA